UCNUCUGGCUUAACUGGGGGCUUGCGGUGGGUACGGGCCGGCUUGAGUGCGGUAGGGGAGACUGGAACUCCUGGUGUAGCGGUGGAAUGCGCAGAUAUCAGGAAGAACACCGGUGGCGAAGGCGGGUCUNUGGGCCGUUACUGACGCUGAGGAGCGAAAGCGUGGGGAGCGAACAGGAUUAGAUACCCUGGUAGUCCACGCCGUAAACGUUGGGCACUAGGUGUGGGGGGCCUUUUCCGGNUCUUCCGCGCCGUAGCUAACGCAUUAAGUGCACCGCCUGGGGAGUACGGCCGCAAGGCUAAAACUCAAAGGAAUUGACGGGGGCCCGCACAAGCGGCGGAGCAUGCGGAUUAAUUCGAUGCAACGCGAAGAACCUUACCAAGGCUUGACAUGUGCCGGUCGGCUCCGGAGACGGGGUUUCCUCCUUGUGGGGCCGGUUCACAGGUGGUGCAUGGUUGUCGUCAGCUCGUGUCGUGAGAUGUUGGGUUAAGUCCCGCAACGAGCGCAACCCUUGUCCCGUGUUGCCAGCACGUUGUGGUGGGGACUCGCGGGAGACUGCCGGGGUCAACUCGGAGGAAGGUGGGGAUGACGUCAAAUCAUCAUGCCCCUUAUGUCUUGGGCUUCACGCAUGCUACAAUGGCCGGUACAGAGGGCUGCGAUACCGUGAGGUGGAGCGAAUCCCUUAAAGCCGGUCUCAGUUCGGAUCGGUGUCUGCAACUCGACACCGUGAAGUUGGAGUCGCUAGUAAUCGCAGAUCAGCAACGCUGCGGUGAAUACGUUCUCGGGCCUUGUACACACCGCCCGUCACGUCAUGAAAGUCGGC
rnacentral:rRNA from 1 species